GACGAACGCUGGCGGCGUGCUUAACACAUGCAAGUCGAACGGAAAGGCCCUGCUUUUGUGGGGUGCUCGAGUGGCGAACGGGUGAGUAACACGUGAGUAACCUGCCCUUGACUGUGGUAUAACUUCAGGAAACUGGGUCUUAUACCGGAUAGGAGCUCCUGCUGCAUUGUGGGGGGUGGAAAGUUUCGGCGGUUGGGGAUGGACUCGCGGCUUAUCAGCUUGUUGGUGGGGUAGUGGCUUACCAAGGCUUUGACGGGUAGCCGGCCUGAGAGGGUGACCGGCCACAUUGGGAUUGAGAUACGGCCCAGACUCCUACGGGAGGAAGCAGUGGGGAAUAUUGAACAAUGGGCGGAAGCCUGAUGAAGCAACGCCGCGUGCGGGAUGACGGCCUUCGGGUUGUAACCCGCUUUAGCCUGUGACGAAGCGUAAGUGACGGUAAUGGGUAAAGAAGCACCGGCUAACUACGUG
rnacentral:rRNA from 1 species